rnacentral:lncRNA from 1 species
GAGGAUUUGCGAGAUUGAGAGAAUGAAAGAAAUGUUUGUAUUAAAUUGUGUGUUUAAUUGUGUAACAUACAUAUGAUGUAUUUAAAGAAAACAAAAGCAAUAAGCACUCAGUGGUGGAAGAAUAAACAACUAGCAGUGGACUGGCCGCUCCUCUCCGUUUGGUAAGUGAUAUGGCCGCUCCUCCCACUUCCUCCACUACUUCUUUAUUUAAUCUUGCCGACAUCUCCCUUUGUUUAAUUCUUCAUGUCAACAUAUAUUUUCAGGUCUGAGUUAAAC